rnacentral:rRNA from 1 species
CUGUGAGCCUGCCUCUGAAACCGGGUAACUUGAGGGCAGGAGAGGGGAGUGGAAUUCCCAGUGUAGCGGUGAAAUGCGUAGAUAUUGGGAGGAACACCAGUGGCGAAGGCGGCUCUCUGGCCUAACCCUGACGCUGAGGCGCGAAAGCGUGGGGAUCAAACAGGAUUAGAUACCCUGGUAGUCCACGCCGUAAACGAUGGGUGCUAGGUGUAGGAGGUAUCGACCCCUUCUGUGCCGUAGUUAACGCAAUAAGCACC